ensembl:lncRNA
AUUCUACGAGUAAUUCAAAUUCAACAAACACUUCUGCAGUAGCUGCAACAUUCAACUUGGUCUUUAGCAUCAAUGAAACCUUUGUUGAAGAAAUGGCCAAUACCAGCUCUCCACAGUUCACAGCAAAAGCUACAACGAUCCGCCAUCAGCUUGAACCAAUUUACAGACAAACCUUCACAAACUUCAUCCAGAUGGUCAUUCUUGAAUUCAGGAAUGGUUCGAUUGUGACAAAUUCCACUCUUGAAUUUACCGCCAAUGGCACCAUCCCAACUAACUCCACACUACAAGACGCCCUUGUUAAUGCGACCAGCACCACCUCAAGCUUGAACAUUAUUCCAACUUCUAUAAAUGUCACCCGGACUCUUGGUAAUUCCACCAGUAAUUCCACCAGUAAUUCACCAGUGAUUGCCAGCUCACUCUCCAUGAUAUGGAUGUCUCUUCUAUCACUUCUACUUUCAGUGGCAUUGCACUUCUAGCUCUACACCUGAUCGGAAAACAUCCACAAUGACCCUUAUAUAUAAUGUAUGUAAUAAUGCAUAAGAAAAAGGGGAUAUGGGGAAAAUGAUUCACUCUUAUAAACAUGGGUAUAUUUAUAUAAGUAUUUGAAACUGGAGACUUAAUGAGGGUUCUGAUUUGCUUGAAAAUUUCUCAGCAUUCUAACAGGCCUACAAGGAUUUUAUUUCACUUUUUAAACUAUUGUGUAGUUAAUAGUAGAA